rnacentral:rRNA from 1 species
UACGGGGGGGGGCAAGCGUUGUUCGGAAUUAUUGGGCGUAAAGGGUGCGUAGGCGGUUUGGUAAGUCUCUUGUGAAAUCUAUGGGCUCAACUCAUAGUCUGCAAGGGAAACUGCCGGGCUUGAGUGUGGGAGAGGUGAGUGGAAUUUCCGGUGUAGCGGUGAAAUGCGUAGAUAUCGGAAGGAACACCUGUGGCGAAAGCGGCUCACUGGACCACAACUGACGCUGAUGCACGAAAGCUAGGGGAGCAAACAGG